CCGGAACUGUCAGGCUAGAGUGCAGGAGAGGAAGGUAGAAUUCCCGGUGUAGCGGUGAAAUGCGUAGAGAUCGGGAGGAAUACCAGUGGCGAAGGCGGCCUUCUGGACUGACACUGACACUGAGGUGCGAAAGCGUGGGUAGCAAACAGGAUUAGAUACCCUGGUAGUCCACGCCGUAAACGAUGUCGACCAGCCGUUGGGUGCCUAGAGCACUUUGUGGCGAAGUUAACGCGAUAAGUCGACCGCCUGGGGAGUACGGCCGCAAGGUUAAAACUCAAAUGAAUUGACGGGGGCCCGCACAAGCGGUGGAGCAUGUGGUUUAAUUCGAUGCAACGCGAAGAACCUUACCUACUCUUGACAUCUACAGAAGCCGGAAGAGAUUCUGGUGUGCCUUCGGGAACUGUAAGACAGGUGCUGCAUGGCUGUCGUCAGCUCGUGUUGUGAAAUGUUGGGUUAAGUCCCGUAACGAGCGCAACCCUUGUCCUUAUUUGCCAGCACGUAAUGGUGGGAACUCUAAGGAGACUGCCGGUGACAAACCGGAGGAAGGUGGGGACGACGUCAAGUCAUCAUGGCCCUUACGAGUAGGGCUACACACGUGCUACAAUGGCCGGUACAAAGGGCUGCGAGCUCGCGAGAGUCAGCGAAUCCCUUAAAGCCGGUCUCAGUCCGGAUCGGAGUCUGCAACUCGACUCCGUGAAGUCGGAAUCGCUAGUAAUCGUGAAUCAGAAUGUCACGGUGAAUACGUUCCCGGGCCUUGUACACACCGCCCGUC
rnacentral:rRNA from 1 species